UUAGUUAUCUAUUAAUUAAAUCACCUGACUGUUUGGAUGUGUCUGUUAGUAAAUGUUUUAUUUCUGAGAGAUAAUGCAUAAAAUAAUUAGUUGUCACUGUGUUAACCACAACCAACAUGCUGGAUCUCUGUUUAGUUGUCACUGUGUUAACCACAACCAACAUGCUGGAUCUCUGUUUAGUUGUCACUGUGUUAACCACAACCAACAUGUUGGAUCUCUGUUUAGUUGUCACUGUGUUAACCACAACCAACAUGUUGGAUCUCUGUUUAGUUGUCACUGUGUUAACCACAACCAACAUGUUGGAUCUCUGUUUAGUUGUCACUGUGUUAACCACAACCAACAUGUUGGAUCUCUGUUUAGUUGUCACUGUGUUAACCACAACCAACAUGUUGGAUCUCUGUUUAGUUGUCACUGUGUUAACCACAACCAACAUGUUGGAUCUCUGUUUAGUUGUCACUGUGUUAACCACAACCAACAUGUUGGAUCUCUGUUUAGUUGUCACUGUGUUAACCACAACCAACAUGUUGGAUCUCUGUUUAGUUGUCACUGUGUUAACCACAACCAACAUGUUGGAUCUCUGUUUAGUUGUCACUGUGUUAACCACAACCAACAUGUUGGAUCUCUGUUUAGUUGUCACUGUGUUAACCACAACCAACAUGUUGGAUCUCUGUUUAGUUGUCACUGUGUUAACCACAACCAACAUGUUGGAUCUCUGUUUAGUUGUCACUGUGUUAACCACAACCAACAUGUUGGAUCUCUGUUUAGUUGUCACUGUGUUAACCACAACCAACAUGUUGGAUCUCUGUUUAGUUGUCACUGUGUUAAACACAACCAACAUGUUGGAUCUCUGUUUAGUUGUCACUGUGUUAACCACAACCAACAUGUUGGAUCUCUGUUUAGUUGUCACUGUGUUAACCACAACCAACAUGUUGGAUCUCUGUUUAGUUGUCACUGUGUUAACCACAACCAACAUGUUGGAUCUCUGUUUAGUUGUCACUGUGUUAAACACAACCAACAUGCUGGAUCUCUGUUUAGUUGUCACUGUGUUAACCACAACCAACAUGUUGGAUCUCUGUUUAGUUGUCACUGUGUUAACCACAACCAACAUGUUGGAUCUCUGUUUAGUUGUCACUGUGUUAACCACAACCAACAUGUUGGAUCUCUGUUUAGUUGUCACUGUGUUAACCACAACCAACAUGUUGGAUCUCUGUUUAGUUGUCACUGUGUUAACCACAACCAACAUGUUGGAUCUCUGUUUAGUUGUCACUGUGUUAACCACAACCAACAUGUUGGAUCUCUGUUUAGUUGUCACUGUGUUAACCACAACCAACAUGUUGGAUCUCUGUUUAGUUGUCACUGUGUUAAACACAACCAACAUGUUGGAUCUCUGUUUAGUUGUCACUGUGUUAACCACAACCAACAUGUUGGAUCUCUGUUUAGUUGUCACUGUGUUAACCACAACCAACAUGUUGGAUCUCUGUUUAGUUGUCACUGUGUUAACCACAACCAACAUGUUGGAUCUCUGUUUAGUUGUCACUGUGUUAACCACAACCAACAUGUUGGAUCUCUGUUUAGUUGUCACUGUGUUAACCACAACCAACAUGUUGGAUCUCUGUUUAGUUGUCACUGUGUUAACCACAACCAACAUGUUGGAUCUCUGUUUAGUUGUCACUGUGUUAAACACAACCAACAUGUUGGAUCUCUGUUUAGUUGUCACUGUGUUAACCACAACCAACAUGUUGGAUCUCUGUUUAGUUGUCACUGUGUUAACCACAACCAACAUGUUGGAUCUCUGUUUAGUUGUCACUGUGUUAACCACAACCAACAUGUUGGAUCUCUGUUUAGUUGUCACUGUGUUAACCACAACCAACAUGUUGGAUCUCUGUUUAGUUGUCACUGUGUUAAACACAACCAACAUGUUGGAUCUCUGUUUAGUUGUCACUGUGUUAACCACAACCAACAUGUUGGAUCUCUGUUUAGAUGUCACUGUGUUAACCACAACCAACAUGUUGGAUCUCUGUUUAGUUGUCACUGUGUUAACCACAACCAACAUGUUGGAUCUCUGUUUAGUUGUCACUGUGUUAACCACAACCAACAUGUUGGAUCUCUGUUUAGUUGUCACUGUGUUAAACACAACCAACAUGCUGGAUCUCUGUUUAGUUGUCACUGUGUUAACCACAACCAACAUGUUGGAUCUCUGUUUAGUUGUCACUGUGUUAACCACAACCAACAUGUUGGAUCUCUGUUUAGUUGUCACUGUGUUAACCACAACCAACAUGUUGGAUCUCUGUUUAGUUGUCACUGUGUUAACCACAACCAACAUGUUGGAUCUCUGUUUAGUUGUCACUGUGUUAACCACAACCAACAUGUUGGAUCUCUGUUUAGUUGUCACUGUGUUAACCACAACCAACAUGUUGGAUCUCUGUUUAGUUGUCACUGUGUUAACCACAACCAACAUGUUGGAUCUCUGUUUAGUUGUCACUGUGUUAACCACAACCAACAUGUUGGAUCUCUGUUUAGUUGUCACUGUGUUAACCACAACCAACAUGUUGGAUCUCUGUUUAGUUGUCACUGUGUUAACCACAACCAACAUGUUGGAUCUCUGUUUAGUUGUCACUGUGUUAACCACAACCAACAUGCUGGAUCUCUGUUUAGUUGUCACUGUGUUAACCACAACCAACAUGCUGGAUCUCUGUUUAGUUGUCACUGUGUUAACCACAACCAACAUGCUGGAUCUCUGUUUAGUUGUCACUGUGUUAACCACAACCAACAUGUUGGAUCUCUGUUUAGUUGUCACUGUGUUAACCACAACCAACAUGUUGGAUCUCUGUUUAGUUGUCACUGUGUUAACCACAACCAACAUGUUGGAUCUCUGUUUAGUUGUCACUGUGUUAAACACAACCAACAUGCUGGAUCUCUGUUUAGUUGUCACUGUGUUAACCACAACCAACAUGUUGGAUCUCUGUUUAGUUGUCACUGUGUUAACCACAACCAACAUGUUGGAUCUCUGUUUAGUUGUCACUGUGUUAACCACAACCAACAUGUUGGAUCUCUGUUUAGUUGUCACUGUGUUAACCACAACCAACAUGUUGGAUCUCUGUUUAGUUGUCACUGUGUUAACCACAACCAACAUGUUGGAUCUCUGUUUAGUUGUCACUGUGUUAACCACAACCAACAUGUUGGAUCUCUGUUUAGUUGUCACUGUGUUAACCACAACCAACAUGUUGGAUCUCUGUUUAGUUGUCACUGUGUUAACCACAACCAACAUGUUGGAUCUCUGUUUAGUUGUCACUGUGUUAACCACAACCAACAUGUUGGAUCUCUGUUUAGUUGUCACUGUGUUAACCACAACCAACAUGUUGGAUCUCUGUUUAGUUGUCACUGUGUUAACCACAACCAACAUGCUGGAUCUCUGUUUAGUUGUCACUGUGUUAACCACAACCAACAUGCUGGAUCUCUGUUUAGUUGUCACUGUGUUAACCACAACCAACAUGCUGGAUCUCUGUUUAGUUGUCACUGUGUUAACCACAACCAACAUGUUGGAUCUCUGUUUAGUUGUCACUGUGUUAACCAGAACCAACAUGUUGUAUCUCUGUUUAGGGGUCAGUGCUCUAAAAUGAGUCUCUCUGGGGAGAGAGAGGAGGGGGGCCCUGUCUCUAAAAUGAGUCUCUCUGGGGAGAGAGAGGAGGGGGGCCCUUCCUCUAAAACACAUCUCUCUGGGGGACAUGACACCAAAGCUAAGAGUCCAAUCAAGCAGGAGAGACCAGCCUCCCCUGUUCCCAGCUGUGUGUCCAUGAAGAGUGACCAGUCUAUGAAUCUACCUAUAGAGUUUAGAAAGGGAGACUUUUCUACUGAACAAAGGUAA
ensembl:lncRNA